CCGCCUAAAGAGUAACGGAGGCGCGCGAAGGUUGGCUCAGACCGGUCGGAAAUCGGUCGUUGAGUGCAAUGGCAGAAGCCAGCCUGACUGCGAGACUGACAAGUCGAGCAGAGUCGAAAGACGGCCAUAGUGAUCCGGUGGUCCCGAGUGGAAGGGCCAUCGCUCAACGGAUAAAAGGUACGCCGGGGAUAACAGGCUGAUGGUGCCCAAGAGUCCAUAUCGACGGCACCGUUUGGCACCUCGAUGUCGGCUCAUCUCAUCCUGGGGCUGGAGCAGGUCCCAAGGGUACGGCUGUUCGCCGUUUAAAGAGGUACGUGAGCUGGGUUUAGAACGUCGUGAGACAGUUCGGUCCCUAUCUGCCGUGGGUGUAGGAUACUUGAGAGGAGUUGCCCCUAGUACGAGAGGACCGGGGUGAACGUUCCACUGGUGGACCAGUUGUCAUGCCAAUGGCAGUGCUGGGUAGCUAUGAACGGACAGGAUAACCGCUGAAGGCAUCUAAGCGGGAAGCCCCCCUCAAAACAAGGUAUCCCUGAGAGCCGAGGUAGACCACCUCGUCGAUAGGCCAGAGAUGUAAGCGCGGCAACGCGUUCAGUUGACUGGUACUAAUUGCUCGAUAGGCUUGAUUUGAUCCAG
rnacentral:rRNA from 1 species